CAAUCAUUAAUUAAGAAUUCUCCAGAAAAUUUAAUAAAUAAAUACAUACAUCAAAAGAAUACCCAAAAAAUUCCAUCAUCAAGCCAUAAAACAUAAGGCUGGAAACUUGGAACACAGAAUUUUGAACGGCAGAGUAUUCGUUUGCCGAACCCGCUGUAAAUAUGCAAUCUGCACAAAGAACUGUUCCCCUGAUUGAAAUAGUUAGAACUUCUUCAUGUUAAGAUUCUCAUGAAUCUCAAUUAGUUAAAA